UCUUCCCUCUUUCUUCGUGCCUAAUACAUGCAAGUCGAGCGAACAGACGAGGAGCUUGCUCCUCUGACGUUAGCGGCGGACGGGUGAGUAACACGUGGAUAACCUACCUAUAAGACUGGGAUAACUUCGGGAAACCGGAGCUAAUACCGGAUAAUAUAUUGAACCGCAUGGUUCAAUAGUGAAAGACGGUUUUGCUGUCACUUAUAGAUGGAUCCGCGCCGCAUUAGCUAGUUGGUAAGGUAACGGCUUACCAAGGCAACGAUGCGUAGCCGACCUGAGAGGGUGAUCGGCCACACUGGAACUGAGACACGGUCCAGACUCCUACGGGAGGCAGCAGUAGGGAAUCUUCCGCAAUGGGCGAAAGCUUGACGGAGCAACGCCGCGUGAGUGAUGAAGGUCUUCUGAUCGUAAAACUCUGUUAUUAGGGAAGAACAAAUGUGUAAGUAACUAUGCACGUCUUGACGGUACCUAAUCAGAAAGCCACGGCUAACUACGUG
rnacentral:rRNA from 1 species